GAUGAACGCUAGCGGCAGGCCUAAUACAUGCGAGUCGAACGGGAUCCAGAUCAAAGCUUGCUUUGGUCUGGUGAGAGUGGCGCACGGGUGCGUAACGCGUGAGCAACCUACCCUUGUCAGGGGGAUAGCCCGGCGAAAGUCGGAUUAAUACCGCAUGACAUCAUUGAGAGGCAUCUUUCGAUGAUCAAAGAUUUAUCGGACAAGGAUGGGCUCGCGUGACAUUAGCUAGUUGGUAAGGUAACGGCUUACCAAGGCUGCGAUGUCUAGGGGCUCUGAGAGGAGAGUCCCCCACACUGGUACUGAGACACGGACCAGACUCCUACGGGAGGCAGCAGUAAGGAAUAUUGGUCAAUGGACGGAAGUCUGAACCAGCCAUGCCGCGUGCAGGAAGACGGCCCUAUGGGUUGUAAACUGCUUUUAUACGGGAACAAACGUCGGUACGUGUACCGGUCUGAGUGUACCGUAAGAAUAAGGAUCGGCUAACUCCGUG
rnacentral:rRNA from 1 species